rnacentral:tRNA from 1 species
GCCCAGGUGCUGGAACUGGCAGACAGGCCGGAUUUAGGUUCCGGUGUCGAAAGGCGUGAGGGUUCGAAUCCCUCCCUGGGCACCA